GAUGAACGCUGGCGGCGUGCCUAAUACAUGCAAGUCGAGCGAACAGACGAGGAGCUUGCUCCUCUGACGUUAGCGGCGGACGGGUGAGUAACACGUGGAUAACCUACCUAUAAGACUGGGAUAACUUCGGGAAACCGGAGCUAAUACCGGAUAACAUGUUGAACCGCAUGGUUCAACAGUGAAAGACGGUCUUGCUGUCACUUAUAGAUGGAUCCGCGCCGCAUUAGCUAGUUGGUAAGGUAACGGCUUACCAAGGCAACGAUGCGUAGCCGACCUGAGAGGGGGAUCGGCCACACUGGAACUGGGACACGGUCCAGACUCCUACGGGAGGCAGCAGUAGGGAAUCUUCCGCAAUGGGCGAAAGCCUGACGGAGCAACGCCGCGUGAGUGAAGAAGGUCUUCGGAUCGUAAAACUCUGUUAUUAGGGAAGAACAAAUGUGUAAGUAACUAUGCACGUCUUGACGGUACCUAAUCAGAAAGCCACGGCUAACUACGUG
rnacentral:rRNA from 1 species